rnacentral:tRNA from 1 species
ACUUAAAUAAUUUAAAAAAAAUAUUGAUUUGUGGUGUCAAAAAUAUGAUGUUAUCAUUUUAGGUU